AUCGCUUCUUGGCCUUUUGGCUAAGAUCAAGUGUAAAUCUUGGGGAAGGCCUCUUAUUACCGUGUUGAUGAUAUAGGGUGUACAAAAUGAUAUUACCAAUAUGUACAUUUGCAUGAAGGGUCAAAAGACUCUGGUACUAGUAGUCCCUUCUCUGCCUGUUAACAGAUCUACAUGAAAAGACAAAGUUUU